rnacentral:tRNA from 2 species
GGCCACGUAGCCAAGUAGUAAGGCGCUUCUCUGCAAAAGAAGUAUACGCGGGUGCGAUUCCCGCCGUGGCCUCCA